rnacentral:rRNA from 1 species
AGCGAACGCUGGCGGCGCGUCUUAAGCAUGCAAGUCGAACGGCAAGAUUGGUGCUUGCACCGAUCCUAGAGUGGCGGACUGGUGAGUAACGCGUGGGUGACGUACCCUAAGGAUGGGGAUAGCUGGUAGAAAUAUCAGAUAAUACCGAAUAUCCUUAUUGUUGUUAGAGGACAGUAAGGAAAGGAGCUUUGGCUUCGCCUAAGGAUCGGCCCGCGUACUAUUAGCUAGUUGGUGAGGUAACGGCUCACCAAGGCGACGAUAGUUAUCCGGCCUAAGAGGGUGAACGGACACAUUGGGACUGAGAUACGGCCCAGACUCCUACGGGAGGCAGCAGCUAAGAAUAUUCCGCAAUGGAGGAAACUCUGACGGAGCGACGCCGCGUGGAUGAUGAAGGCCGGAAGGUUGUAAAAUCCUUUUAAGCAAGAAGAAUAAACUUUACAGGGAAUGGUAGAGUGGUGACGGUAUUGCUUGAAUAAGCAACGGCUAAUUACGUGCCAGCCGCCGCCGUAAGAC